GUGUUCUUCCGAUCUGGGAUGAUAUGCCCUAUCUAUAAGGGAGGAAGCAGACCAGAUGCUAAAAUUAUAGGCCUAUCUCUCUGACCUCACACAUCAGCAAAGUCAUGGAACGAAUAGGCCGCCAGAAACUGGUCAGUUCCUUGAAGAAAAUGACUUGUUGACUGACACUCAGCAUGG